rnacentral:rRNA from 1 species
CACGUAGGGCGCAAGCGUUGUCCGGAAUUAUUGGGCGUAAAGAGCUCGUAGGCGGUCUGUCGCGUCUGCCGUGAAAGCCCAUGGCUUAACUGUGGGUCUGCGGUGGAUACGGGCUGGCUAGAGGUAGGUAGGGGCAAGCGGAAUUCCUGGUGUAGCGGUGAAAUGCGCAGAUAUCAGGAGGAACACCGGUGGCGAAGGCGGGUCUCUGGACAGUUCCUGACACUGAGACACGAAGGCCAGGGGAGCAAACGGG